rnacentral:rRNA from 1 species
AUUGAACGCUGGCGGCAUGCUUUACACAUGCAAGUCGAACGGUAACAGGUUAAGCUGACGAGUGGCGAACGGGUGAGUAAUGCAUCGGAACGUGCCCGAUCGUGGAGGAUAACGCAGCGAAAGCUGCGCUAAUACCGCAUACGAUCUGAGGAUGAAAGCGGGGGACCGUAAGGCCUCGCGCGAUCGGAGCGGCCGAUGUCAGAUUAGGGAGUUGGUGGGGUAAAGGCUCACCAAGCCAACGAUCUGUAGCUGGUCUGAGAGGACGACCAGCCACACUGGGACUGAGACACGGCCCAGACUCCUACGGGAGGCAGCAGUGGGGAAUUUUGGACAAUGGGCGAAAGCCUGAUCCAGCAAUGCCGCGUGCAGGAAGAAGGCCUUCGGGUUGUAAACUGCUUUUGUACGGAGCGAAAAGGCCCUCUCUAAUACAGGGGGUUUAUGACGGUACCGUAAGAAUAAGCACCGGCUAACUACGUGCCAGCAGCCGCCGUAA